rnacentral:rRNA from 1 species
UACAUAGGGGGCGAGCGUUAUCCGGAAUUAUUGGGCGUAAAGCGUGCGUAGGCUGUUGAUUAAGUCUGAUGUGAAAGCCCACGGCUCAACCGUGGAGGGUCAUUGGAAACUGGUCGACUAGAAUCCAGAAGGGGUAAGUGGAAUUCCAUGUGAAGCGGUAAAAUGCAUAGAUAUAUGGAGGAACACCAGUGGCGAAGGCGGCUUACUGGUCUGGGAUUGACGCUGAGGCACGAAAGUGUGGGUAGCAAAC